GGGCUCGUGGUGAAACGGAAUCACGGCUCUUUCGCAAGGAGCAGUUCUGGGUUCGACUCCCAGCCAGUCCA
rnacentral:tRNA from 1 species